CUGAUUUCAAACUUGUUCUUAGAAAAACCUAAAAUUGUUUUAUGGCAAAAUUUAUUAUAGAUGACAAAUUUGAAUAAAGAAUUUCUUCUUCUCGAAGAAAAGAAGCGCUAAGCUAUAAUUUAAACGUCACGCGGCUAAAAGUUAAAAAAAAGAAUGAUUCUUACGAGGAUAUAAUGGCUGAAAAUACAUUCUAAUGACGUAUUUUCUUUUCAGAUAACACCAGGUAUAAGAAGGCUGGUGGUAGUAAACAUCAGCGAUACCGCGGCAAAUAUAUCUGCAACGCAUGUGGUAAAGAGUACAAAUGGAGAUAUUCUCUGACGAGGCACAAACGUGAUGAAUGCGACCUACACUUGUACCCGUUUCGCUCUUAUCCGUGCAACACGUGCGGCAAGACAUACAAAUGGAGAGAAUCUUUGAGUCUGCACAAACGAAUGGAGUGCGGUAUCGAGCCACGCUUUACCUGUUGCGUCUGCGGCAGAAAGUUCAAACACAAGCACCAUCUUGCGAAGCACCACAACUCAAUUCACAAAUCUAUCUAAUAAUAAAUAAAUAUGUUCAAUAAGUGACUUUCCUUUAUACAUUUAGAAAUAAUAAGUGAUUAUAUGUAGUUACUUUUUUUUAUAUAAGGAUACGUAUAAUAUCAUAGAUGUUCAUGAAAAUUUAAUUUGGGAACGAUCGCGUCUUCUACGUACCUUAAAAUGAUCUACUUCGAAUUCUCUUGAAAUUUUAUCUUAAAACUAUUAUUAACAAUCGGAAUUAUUACGACUCAACCUAUUUAGUUUUUUUUCUGGAAUAUAUGCUGCUUAUUUUAUGCCAUAAAAUAAUUUUAUGCCUUAAUAAAAUUCUGUAAAACUACAAAGUGGUAAAAUUGAGGGCGAAAGAAUUCAUAAUAAUUCCGCGGUGAUCAUUCCCGGAUGAAUACAAUGAUGGCAAUUUUUUAAAUAAACCAAUAAAACCAA